UACCUAGGGGGCAAGCGUUAUCCGGAAUUAUUGGGUGUAAAGGGUGCGUAGACGGAGAAACAAGUUGGUUGUGAAGUCCCUCGGCUCAACCGAGGAACUGCAACCAAAACUAUUUCCCUUGAGUGCCGGAGAGGUAGGCGGAAUUCCUAGUGUAGCGGUGAAAUGCGUAGAUAUUAGGAGGAACACCAGUGGCGAAGGCGGCCUACUGGACGGUGACUGACGCUGAGGCUCGAAAGCGUGGGGAGCAAACAGG
rnacentral:rRNA from 1 species